rnacentral:rRNA from 1 species
GUGUCAGCAGCCGCGGUAAUACGAAGGGUGCUAGCGUUGUUCGGAAUCACUGGGCGUAAAGCGUGCGUAGGCGGCUUUCCAAGUCAGGGGUGAAAUCCUGGGGCUCAACCCCAGAAUUGCCUUUGAAACUGGAAAGCUAGAGUAUUGGAGGGGAUAGCGGAAUUGCUAAUGUAGAGGUGAAAUUCGUAGAUAUUAGCAGGAACACCGGUGGCGAAGGCGGCUAUCUGGACAAUUACUGACGCUCUGGCACGAAAGUGUGGGGAUCAAACAGGAUUAGAUACCCUGGUAGUCC